rnacentral:rRNA from 1 species
AGCACCACAACGGGUGGAGCUUGCGGUUUAAUUGGAUUCAACGCCGGAAUCUUACCGGGACCGACAGCAAUAUGAAGGCCAGGCUGAAGACUUUGCCGGAUUAGCUGAGAGGUGGUGCAUGGCCGUCGUCAGUUCGUACUGUGAAGCAUCCUGUUAAGUCAGGCAACGAGCGAGACCCACGCCCACAGUUGCCAGCGUACUCUCUGGAGUGACGGGUACACUGUGGGACCGCCGCUGCUAAAGCGGAGGAAGGAAUGGGCAACGGUAGGUCAGUAUGCCCCGAAUAUCCCGGGCUACACGCGAGCUACAAUGGUUGGUACAAUGGGUAUCUACCCGAAAGGGGACGGGAAUCUCCUAAAACCAAUCUUAGUUCGGAUUGAGGGCUGCAACUCGCCCUCAUGAAGCUGGAAUCCGUAGUAAUCGCGUUUCAACAGAACGCGGUGAAUACGUCCCUGCUCCUU